UAUCUUUGGGUAUUUCGCAUGUAAGAUUGUUAGGGCCCUAGAAAUAAUUAAAUGUUUGGCCCCAUUCCCUUUCUGGGAAGGUGUGUACUGGUUAGAGCCCUAGAAAGCAUUAAGCGUUUGGCCCUAGUGUAAGGUGUGUACUGGUUAGAGCCCUAGAAAGCAUUAAGCGUUUGGCCCUAGUGUAAGGUGUGUACUGGUUAGAGCCCUAGAAAGCAUUAAGCGUUUGGCCCUAGUGUAAGGUGUGUACUGGUUAGAGCCCUAGAAAGCAUUAAGCGUUUGGCCCUAGUGUAAGGUGUGUACUGGUUAGAGCCCUAGAAAGAAUGAAGCGUUUGGCCCUAGUGUAAGGUGUGUACCGGUUAGAGCCCUAGAAAGCAUUAAGCGUUUGGCCCUAGUGUAAGGUGUGUACCGGUUAGAGCCCUAGAAAGCAUUAAGCGUUUGGCCCUAGUGUAAGGUGUGUACCGGUUAGAGCCCUAGAAAGCAUUAAGCGUUUGGCCCUAGUGUAAGGUGUGUACCGGUUAGAGCCCUAGAAAGCAUUAAGCGUUUGGCCCUAGUGUAAGGUGUGUACCGGUUAGAGCCCUAGAAAGCAUUAAGCGUUUGGCCCUAGUGUAAGGUGUGUACCGGUUAGAGCCCUAGAAAGCAUUAAGCGUUUGGCCCUAGUGUAAGGUGUGUACCGGUUAGAGCCCUAGAAAGCAUUAAGCGUUUGGCCCUAGUGUAAGGUGUGUACCGGUUAGAGCCCUAGAAAGCAUUAAGCGUUUGGCCCUAGUGUAAGGUGUGUACUGGUUAGAGCCCUAGAAAGCAUUAAGCGUUUGGCCCUAGUGUAAGGUGUGUACCGGUUAGAGCCCUAGAAAGCAUUAAGCGUUUGGCCCUAGUGUAAGGUGUGUACUGGUUAGAGCCCUAGAAAGAAUGAAGCGUUUGGCCCUAGUGUAAGGUGUGUACCGGUUAGAGCCCUAGAAAGCAUUAAGCGUUUGGCCCUAGUGUAAGGUGUGUACUGGUUAGGGCCCUAGAAAGCAUUACGCGUUUGGCUCUAAUGUAAGGUGUGUACUGGUUAGGGCCCUAGAAAGCAUUACGCGUUUGGCUCUAAUGUAAGGUGUGUACUCCAGUUACCCUGCUUUAACAGGAUUACAACAGAUAAAACAUACUAAGAUGCCCUGCGGCUGGGGGCAGAAAUGAAAUAGGAUGUAAUAAGGUAAUCUGGUGACUGGUGAUAAGAGGAUCUAAACAGAAUAGCAGCCAACAAUAGAUCAGCUAUCACUGAACAGGGAGCAGAGAUGGGCUCUGUCUGAAGGACUGCAAGACAGCCCUGGGUUGAUGUGAUGUCAAGAAUGUACAUGAACAAUGUUGUGUAUCUUUUGUGAAAUUUUAUUUAUAGAAUAAGGCACUUUUACAAUACAUGGGUCAUUGGCAUUGUCGUUUACAUUGCAGCUGUGUUUGUGUAAUACAUUUUAUCACUAAAAUAAUGAUACGCUCUGAAUGAAACACACCUAAAUGAAAGAGGAAAUCAUGCAAACUAUCAGAUAGCGAUUGGAUGUAAUGUCAUUGGAUUUCCAAUGUAUAUUACUGUAACAUAUUUAGUGAAUUUAAAGGAUGUUAAUACAUUAGUUAUAAUAACAAAUGUAGUCGUACUUAAAGAUGUAUAAACGUCAAAUUUGUGUGCAAAGUAUACUUUGUAGGAGAGCAGAACAUUGCUAGAAUAUAAAGGGAUCCAUUUAUAAUACUAUUCUUGUAAAAUAAGAUGUGUGCAAUACAUGUCAUGCUCAAUUCACUGAAUCUAGACAUUUGACUAUUGGCUCUGACAUUCUUACUGUCUAUCGGGAUAAUUGACAUUGUCUACUAGUAAUGUAAUGUAAACGUGACAAGAGAAAAUCCAAAAAGCAGGCAUAGGCAACGAAUGGUUCAGCAGCUGAAUUGAUCAGGACCACACCACGUGAUCAUGGUUAGGUAAAGAAUGGUUCAGCAGCUGAAUUGAUCAGGACCACACCACGUGAUCAUGGUUAGGUAAAGAAUGGUUCAGCAGCUGAAUUGAUCAGGACCACACCACGUGAUCAUGGUUAGGUAAAGAAUGGUUCAGCAGCUGAAUGGAUCAGGACCACACCACGUGAUCAUGGUUAGGUAAAGAAUGUUUCAGCAGCUGAAUUGAUCAGGACUACACCACGUGAUCAUGGUUAGGUAAAGAAUGGUUCAGCAGCUGAAUUGAUCAGGACUACACCACGUGAUCAUGGUUAGGUAAAGAAUGGUUCAGCAGCUGAAUGGAUCAGGACCACACCACAUGGUUAGGUAAAGAAUGGUUGAGCAGCAAGGGCCUGGUUUGUUUCAAAACAGAAAAUACAGAGAUUCAUUGAAGCACAACAAAUUAGACGUAUGUCUAA